rnacentral:lncRNA from 1 species
UUUUCUGAAACAGUGCUCAUCCUAACCAACCCAAAGUAUCUCCAGCAUAAAUCGACACCAUCCGUGAGACAAGCAGCACAUCUCAAUUGAUCCAUUCUCACCAAAGAAGGAGCUUUUAUUCCUGAAUCUUGGUUGUGACUUGUUGGAUAAAGGACGAUGUGUGUUUGGAAAUAAUUUUCCAUCAGCUCCAAGCUGAAGUGACCUUCAGUGUCUUACUUUGGAGGAAGUCAAGUACUAUGAUGAAAAUAACAAAUGGAAAUAGAGUAUAAUUUAUCACUAAAUAGGCCGACAUGUGGAAAGAUCCCUCCAGGCUCUUACAAAAGCAGGUGGCCUGGAUUCAGAGUGCAGAGGACGGCAGCAGAGGGCCCGAGGAGCCAGGACCUUGCCUGUCCUUGAAGGAAGCUCAGGAAGCUGGGCCACCCAGCAGUUCUCCUCUGUUCGUCAUACACCUGCCACAGAGGCUGCUCCCAACCUGGGGUGAGCAUCUCGGACCCUGAGGGUCAAGGUGUACAGGAUGGAGGACUAAGGGACCCAAGCUUGAGAAGGAUUUGUUUGAAGCACCUCUAUGAUCUGUGGCUUCUGGUUCUUCUGUCUGCAAGGGUUUGUUCAGUCAUGGAACAGUUUCUUCUCUUGGAUGAGCUCAAGAAGGAGUGUUUGGCAUAAUCCUGGUGCGAGGUGUGUGCCCUUGUUCUCUGAAUUUUUGUUGGGAACUAAGUGUGUCAGUGCGGUCCGGAACAUUCAUGAAAGUUUGAAUACAUGGCAUGUCAAUUGGGGAUUAUAA